CCCUGAUCCAGCCAUGCCGCGUGGGUGAAGAAGGCCUUAGGGUUGUAAAGCCCUUUCGGCGGGGAAGAUGAUGACGGUACCCGCAGAAGAAGCCCCGGCUAACUCCGUGCCAGCAGCNNNGGUAAUA
rnacentral:rRNA from 1 species